AGUGAACGCUGGCGGUAGGCCUAACACAUGCAAGUCGAACGGCAGCACAGUAAGAGCUUGCUCUUACGGGUGGCGAGUGGCGGACGGGUGAGGAAUACAUCGGACUCUACUUUUUCGUGGGGGAUAACGUAGGGAAACUUACGCUAAUACCGCAUACGACCUACGGGUGAAAGCAGGGGAUCUUCGGACCUUGCGCGAUUGAAUGAGCCGAUGUCGGAUUAGCUAGUUGGCGGGGUAAAGGCCCACCAAGGCGACGAUCCGUAGCUGGUCUGAGAGGAUGAUCAGCCACACUGGAACGGAGACACGGUCCAGACGCCUACGGGGGGCAGCAGUGGGGAAUAUUGGACAAUGGGCGCAAGCCUGAUCCAGCCAUACCGCGUGGGUGAAGAAGGCCUUCGGGUUGUAAAGCCCUUUUGUUGGGAAAGAAAAGCAGCAGGUUAAUACCCCGCUGUUCUGACGGUACCCAAAGAAUAAGCACCGGCUAACUUCGUG
rnacentral:rRNA from 1 species